CGAGCACGCGCGUGUGGCAUAUCAAUAAGCGGAGGAAAAGAAACUAACAAGGAUUCCCUUAGUAACGGCGAGUGAAGCGGGAAGAGCUCAAAUUUGAAAUCUUCAAGGUUCUACCUUGACGAAUUGUAGUUUAUAGAAGUGUUUUCUGUUAGUAGGAGUGGCAAAAGUUCUUUGGAAUAGGACAUCAUAGAGGGUGAGAAUCCCGUAUUUGGUCAUUCCUCCUAGCGUUGUGAUACACUUUCAACGAGUCGGAUUGUUUGGGAAUGCAGUCCAAAAUGGGUGGUAAAUUUCAUCUAAAGCUAAAUAUUGGCGAGAGACCGAUAGCGAACAAGUACCGUGAGGGAAAGAUGAAAAGAACUUUGAAAAGAGAGUUAAACAGUACGUGAAAUUGUCAAAAGGGAAGCGUUUGACACCAGUGUUGUUUUUCCGAAAAUCAAUUACGAAUGUUUUGUUUUUGAGGAGUUAUGACUUCAUCGGCUUGCUUCUCUCUUUACGAAACUUUCUUAAUGCACUUUUCGGUUAACAAGUCAACAUCAAUUUCUUUUGUUGUAAAAGGGUAUGAGGAAGGUGGCUUUCUUUUCGGAGAAAGUGUUUAUAGCCUUGUAGCCUCUGCAAUCGGAGAGAUUGAGGUCUGCAGCGUAGAUCCUUCGGGGUUAGAUACGUUUGUGCUAAGUUAUAGCUUUUCAUAGACAACUUGUUGACUAUGUUUAGUCUUGUAGCUUACUCGCUGAUGCUAUUUUACCUACGCUUAGGAUGUUGAUGUGAUACUGCGAGCA
rnacentral:rRNA from 1 species